CCUACGGGAGGCAGCAGUGAGGAAUAUUGGUCAAUGGGCGAGAGUCUGAACCAGCCAAGUCGCGUGAAGGAUGACGGCCCUAUGGGUUGUAAACUGCUUUUGUCAGGGAGCAAUUGAGGCCACGUGUGGCCUUAGCGAAAGUACCUGAAGAAAAAGCAUCGGCUAACUCCGUGCCACAAGCCGCGGUAAUACGGAGGAUGCGAGCGUUAUCCGGAUUUCUGGGGUUUAAAGGGUGCGUAGGCGGAAUAUCAAGUCAGCGGUAAAAAUUCGGGCCUAAACCCCGUAGUGCCGUUGAAACUGAUCGUCUUGAGUGGGCGAGAAGUAUGCGGAAUGCGUGGUGUAGCGGUGAAAUGCUUAGAUAUCACACAGAACUCCGAUUGCGAAGGCAGCAUACCAGCGCCCAACUGACGCUGAAGCACGAAAGCGUGGGUAGCGAACAGGAUUAGAUACCCUUGUAGUC
rnacentral:rRNA from 1 species